rnacentral:rRNA from 1 species
AGAGCGAACGCUGGCGGCAGGCCUAACACAUGCAAGUCGAACGCCCAGCAAUGGGAGUGGCAGACGGGAUAGUAACACGUGGGAACGCGCCCUUCGGUUCGGAAUAACUCAGGGAAACUUGAGCUAAAUACCGGAUACGCCCUUACGGGGAAAGAUUUAUUGCCGAAGGAACGGCCCGCGUCGGAUUAGCUAGUUGGUGAGGUAAUGGCUCACCAAGGCGACGAUCCGUAGCUGGUCUGAGAGGAUGACCAGCAUCACUGGGACUGAGACACGGCCCAGACUCCUACGGGAGGCAGCAGUGGGGAAUAUUGGACAAUGGGCGCAAGCCUGAUCCAGCCAUGCCGCGUGGAUGAUGAAGGCCCUAGGGUUGUAAAGUCCUUUAACGGGAAGAUAAUGACGGUACCCGUAGAAUAAGCCCGGCUAACUUCGCGCCAGCAGCCGC